AGGUCAACGAUUACGAAUUUCCAAAUGUCGCCAUGGUUACGAAGGAAAAUUAUGUGAGAUAGAUAUUGAUUGGUGUGACGUCGUAAGGAAUAACGGUUCUGUACCAUGUGAUUAUGGAAUGUGACAAGAUGGCCAGUUCAACUAUACACUGAACACGACUGCAUUAAAGAUGAAGAUGAAUGUGACUAGCAUGCUUUGCGAGAAUUCUGCUGUCUGUAUUCAUAAGUCAAAUGCAACCUACUUUGGAAUCGAUCAAAAGUGAAAGGUACGGAUUAUUGAACAGAUUGUCUCUUUUCUGUGUUUUUUUCUAUGUUUAGUCUUUAG